rnacentral:rRNA from 1 species
AAUAUUGCGCAAUGGAGGGAACUCUGACGCAGCGACGCCGCGUGAGCGAUGAAGGUCUUCGGAUCGUAAAGCUCUGUCCUUGGGGAAGAAGGGUGUUUUAUAGCAUCUUGACAGUACCCGAGGAGGAAGCCCCGGCUAACUACGUGCCAGCAGCCGCGGUAAUACGUAGGGGGCAAGCUUUGUCCGGAAUUAUUGGGCGUAAAGGGUGCGUAGGCGGCCUUUUAAGUCAGGUGUGAAAGCCCACGGCUUAACCGUGGGAUUGCAUUUGAAACUGGAAGGCUUGAGUAUCGGAGAGGGUAGUGGAAUUCCCAGUGUAGCGGUGAAAUGCGUAGAUAUUGGGAGGAACACCAGUGGCGAAGGCGACUACCUGGACGAAAACUGACGCUGAUGCACGAAAGCUAGGGGAGCAAACA